rnacentral:misc_RNA from 1 species
GGUCUGCUGCAGGUAAUAUCGAGAAACAACCAUUGCGCAGGACAGUAGCAACGUCAGCUUGGUAUGCACGUAGCUCCUCAAGAGCCUUUUCAGCAUUUGUUUCUGUGAUAACCCCGACCGCUGCAUUUGCAGCCAAUAUCAUCAAGAUAACAGAAGGUUCAAUGAAGGCUGAUAUUACCGUCUCUCCAUUAGCAAGUGCCAAAAAAAAGGAAAUAAAAGCAGCUGCAAUUAGAAUCUUAACAAGCAAAUCAUUAAAUUGCUUCAGCACCAACUUCCAGAAAGGAGUGCUUUUUUCUUGAGGCAACACAUUUUUGCCAUAUGAGUGUGCAUGUUGUGUAACCUGUAAAUCUGUAAGACCUUUAGUUGGAUCCACCGCGAAGAAUUCAAGAACCUCUGAAACAGAUCGGGCGUAAGCGUCCUCCAUUGAAGGAGGUCAGGUCAGGUCAGGUUACGUCAGGUCAGUUUCUUCUGAAAUUGAACAGUGUUUUUGACUCUUUGAUGAUCUUGUGCAACUGGUGCCUGCUGGGAUGAUCUUCGGCAACUCUAGUAAAGCGAGAUCUGAUAAAAG